UAUUAACAUGUUUCAAAGAGUUGAAUUAACAGGUUGGCACUUACGAUUGUGGAUUUAUAACACAGGAU
rnacentral:lncRNA from 1 species